GGCUUAGACAUAAAAGGCUGUGUGUUCAGAUACAAAACCAGUUGUCUGAUGGCUAACUUCUGAGAAGGGAACAUGUCACCCUCAAGGAGCUCAGAGGCCAGUGUGGAGCCAACCAUGGAAAAUGGUUGGCUCUAAACCAAUAAAUUAGAUCCCUCAUUGAACCUUCUGAUGAACACAGACGCCCCCCCAGCACUGAACACAGACCCCCUCCACUCAACAUAGACUCUUCCACUGAACACAGACCCCCCUCCACCUAACACAGACCCCCUAUAAUGAACACAGACCCCUCCACUGAACACACACCCCUUCACUGAACACUGACCCCUCCACUGAACAUAGUCUCCUCAGCUGAACACAGUUCCCUCCUUCCAUGAAACUUGGCACAGAGUGGAAUUUGCUUCUUGUCUGUGAUACCCUCCUUCCUAUAGAGUAUUUGGCUAAGAGCAAAGACUAAAGCUUUCAGAUGUAUUCCCCUGCAUUCAAGAUUUUCUGAGGUGAGUCUCCAGUGAAGGCUUGUAGCUCCUACUGCUGUGCAGUUCUGGUUAAGCUGAAUACCUGGGGGUAGAUAGGGUGUUAGUGGCUACAGUUAACAAAGCCACAAAUAGAAGAAGCAAGACCCAGUCCCUGGCACAAGGUGACAGAAGGGACUGCAGAGCAUACAGAGAUAAGGGGUUCUUGCUAUGAUCCAUCCUGAAUGUACCAUAUGGCUUGGGGGGAGGUAGUCCACCUCUCUGGACCUCAGUUUAUUCUCCGGACAAAUGGGAACAAUAGUAGCUCUGCCCCUUUCUCAAGAAUAUUGUGGCUGUAAAAGCAUCUAAAAUAGCAUCAAAUACUAAUGGAUCCACAAGCCAGAAACUACAUCUUCUUUCUUGAGGGUAGAGCCCAUGUCCCUGCCAUGUUUGCAUUCUCUGAAGCAGCAGGUAGAGCCCAUGACAGGUGGCCAAUCAAUAAUGGUUGAAUUGAUGAAACAGAAGAAGCUGUCCAAGUCCCUGUGGAACUGCAGUUCUAACCGGGGUGGUGGUGUGGCGAGCAUCACACAAUGGAUGGAAGCAGCUUUAGAGGUAGACAGAGAGGCCCUCCUUCACUCAGACACAUCUAAUUUAGAAUUUGUGAUGCUUUUUACAAGGCUAGAGAGGAACUGGGCCCUGCUGAUGGAAUGUGUGCUGAACAAACUCCUGGGGGACAGAGGUGAUCACACCAGGCCCUGUCGGCCUCCGGGUGCACAGCCUGUUCCAGAUGGCAGCGAUCACUGUCCCUAGUACAGAAAACUUGCACAACACCAGCUUGCUUGGGAGCAGUUAGCCUGUCAAUCACAGGGGAACUCUGACCUUAUCUAUGAAGCAGCCAGACUGUUCCCUUGACCGUGAUGUCUUAAUGGCCAUUUAGGGUGAUUGGUAUGUUUAAGGAACAUAAAAUUUUAUGUUGUUAAAGCUAAACCAUUCGCAGCCUCUGUCUGUCUUUUCUUAGGGCAGCUCAGAGCCAUUCAUAGUUUUCAAAUAAGAGUCUAUGGCCAGGAGUCUGCCAUGGCUAACUGUAUGUGAGCCUGAGCCUGGGCUCAUGGGCUCCUCCUAAUGCAACAAGGGACAGCCUCAUUCCUUCUGCCAGCCUCUGUUUCUUCUGCCCAGUGUUCUGGCUGGAGAUCUGAGCUCCAAGGCUGGAGGCAGAAGAUGUCUUAUUCACCUCUCCAAGCUUCAGACUACCCGGGGAAGAGCAGACAUCUAGGUAAGCUCUGGCAAGUUGGUAGGAGAGAAGAGGUCCAGGGGAAGUAGACAGAGGGAAGGGGUGCUGCUCCAUGGUUACAACCCAGGAUCUCAGGGGGCAGUCAAGGAGUUGUAGAAGGCACCUUGGCCAUCUGGGAAAUGACUUCCUUCCAUCUCAGGCCAGAAAAGGAGCAGGAAAUGGAGUCAAGGUGAGGUUAGAAAGCUACUGGGCUCCUGAGGGAAUAUUUGCCCCUUCUCUGGGGUCUCUACACUAGACCUUGUGAAUUUCAGCUCACCUCUCUGUCAUAGGAUAGCAACAUGUAUUCAACACUCUGGGAGCUGUUUUCUGUGGCCACCUCCUGUUUGGCUGUCCUCUCAGUGCUUCCUGGCCUGCCCUAGAGGCUUGACUGGCAUUGCCACCUCCCGCAGGAAUAGCUGCUGGAGCUCUUCCCAGGGGAGCAGCAUGGCCUAGUGGCUGCAGAGCGGGACUGCAGCCUGGGUAUUCAUGAUCCCCUCAGUAUCCUUCCCACCCUGAACUCAGCAUAUCAGGGUUAGGGUCAGAGUUAGAGUCAGGGUCAGGGUCAGGGUCAGGGUCAGGGUUAGGGUCAGAGUUAGGGUUAGGGUUAGGGUUUAGGGUUUAGGGUUAGGGUCAGGGUUAGGGUUAGGGGUUAGGGUUAGGGUUAGGGUUAGGGUUAGGGUUAGGGUUUAGGAUAGGAUGAGAUGGGGCUGCUCCUAGCUCACCCAGCACAACGCACAUUCUAGAUAGGGUCUCUCCUCUAGCAGGUCACAGCUCCAGCCCAGUGCCUGGCCGAGAGAGAGAGAGAGAGAGAGAGAGAGAGAGAGAGAGAGAGAGAGAGAGAGAGAGAGACAGAGACAGAGACACAGACAGAGACACAGACAGAGACAGAGACACAGAGACAGAGACAGAGAGACAGAGACAGAGAGAGCAUAAACAUGAAUGUACAUGUGCAGGUGGAGGUCAGAGGUCAAUUUCUGGUGUCACUCUUCAGAAGCCAUCCACCCUGUCUUUUGAGAUGGGGUCUCUUACUGGCCUGGAACUUGCUGAUUCACUUAGACUGGCUGGCGAGUGAGACCUAGGGAUCCUCUGGUCUCUCUCUGCCUUCCCAGUUCUGGGGUUACAAGUGCAUGCCACUAUGCCUAGACAUUUUGGCAUAGGUGCAGGGAAUCACACUCAAGUUCUCCUGCUUACAGAGCAAGCACUACCAACUAUUUCCCCAGCACAAGAGGAGUUUUCACCUGGACCCUUGACUGGGUGCCCUACUAGAAAGAAAGGUUUUGAGGGAGAAAGGCAAGAGAGAGAGGGUUCACUCAGGAAUACUCAAUAAAGGAUAACCCUGGGAAGGUCUUAGGUGUGGCUUUACAUCUGUCCCAGGUACAUGCAUGGCCAUUGAGUGAGGUACUGAAACAGAGAGCAGAGACACCUGCUGGAGACAGGGCAGGCUGUGGAAGGAUGAAAGGGGGUAAGGUCUCAGCCCUGGCAGAGUUGUUCCAUCAGAAUCCAGAGGAAGAGGUCACCAUAGGGUGUGAGAAAGGAUGCUGUGUGACUGUCCUACAGGUGAUGAUCUACAGUCCCUCGACUGAUAGGAGACUCAGGACAGCUGUCUGCAGUGAGUGGUUCCUCCCCCAGAGGAGGAGUGAAAGGGCUGUACAGUGCUGGGGAGGUCAGAAGAAUUGUUAGCCCUUGAAACACAACGGGACCUGGAAAGACCUCUGUUCAGAAAUCUCAUAGAUCAAACACACAUACCCCACUGCCUUCCAGUCCCUACAAGGUUUGGGUGACCAUAGAAGACUCCUACAGCCAGGGUCCUAUUUUUCUUUGUGCAGUCCAGGCAUUAACAUCAUUGUUUUAUUUAUUGUGUGACUGGGGAAUGGUAGACCAGAAGCAGCAGCAGAAGCAGCUUCUAGCAGCUGAUUUUGAAUUCAGGCCUUUUUAACUCUCAGAGCCCUGCUCUCUUUUCUGAGAGAGAGAGGACACAAAACUGGUCCACAGACCUGUUUUCUAUGUGGAUGAGAACAGGAGAGUAGGCAGAAGGUCUUAUUCCAGGCCCUGGUCCUACAGACAUAUUGGCAUCACAGGACCUGGACUCUCCCUCUCAGGCAGAGUGGUUGGUUCACAGUCUAUGCAGAGGAGGAAGUUGGAUGAUGCUGUACUUCAAACAUACCACGUGAUUUCUGGCUCCACCCCACCCCAUCCCACUUCCUGAGGUAAGUCCACUUUCAGGCUGAGGUUGUGGACACUUCUCACUUAGCUUCACACUCAGAUGUCCUUCUGUGCAAAGUAGGGCUAACACAAGCACAAGCUGUUUGUGGGAAAUGAGUAAUAUGAUGCUGAGCAGAGGCCUGAUGCACACACACAUGCGUGUGUGUGUGUGUGUGUGUGUGUGUGUGUGUGUGUGUGUGUGUAUGUGUGUGUGUAUGCGUGUGUGAGUGCACACUCGAACAUACAUACACUAACCUUGGUUGUCAUUCCUUAGAAGCUAUCAACCUUAUUUUGUGAAGCAAGAUCUCUUACUGGGACUGGACAUUUCAAUUAGGCUAUGCUGGCUAGCCAAUGAACCCCAUAUCUACCUGUCUCUGCCAUCCAACUGCACUGGGAUGGCAAAUGUCUACCACAAUGUCCAGCUUUUUAUCUGGGUGCUGGAGAUUAAACUCAGGUCCUCUGUAGGGGAGCCAUCUGUAGGGGCCUAUCUUAAAAUGCCUAACUCCCAGGCACUGUGGCCUGCAAACUCCUUCUGUUGUUCACCCUCCUUUGCUGUCCUCUGCUCGGCCAGUGUGGCCCAAUCUAACAGCUCUUCAUCCUCCUGAGUGUGGUCCUUGUCCUCUGCCUUCUGUUCUGCUCACAGGACCUUAACAGCUCACACAUUUGAUAGCAGGAUCUAACUAUAAUGAGCUGAGGCCUGUCUGCCUUUCCACAUUAUAAACCCCACAAGGACAGGACUGGUGUCUACUUCUGUUUAUUCCCCACUUAUCAUUUGGCACAGCCAUUUGCCUAAGCACUCUUCCACAGACUGUCUUCUCAAGGGAGAAGCCUCUAGUCUCGACAUUCCAAGUCUUCUAGGGCCCCUCACUCCCUGACUUGCUCUCGAGCCUGUUUUGUU
ensembl:lncRNA